UCCAAGUCCAGAUCGCGGUUGUUGAUAAGCAUUUCUGGAGUCAACUUCUUAUCAGUUCGGUGUCGAUUGCGUUCACUGUUCCUGUUGAUUGAAAUUUCCCGCGUUACGAUAAUCUCGUCUCUCCCUCUUCGCCAGUUGCUCUUUCGGGCCGAAAUUUUCUUUAUCUAACUGUUUCUCUAUAA
ensembl:ncRNA T04C12.14 ncRNA